rnacentral:lncRNA from 1 species
CCGGGCUCUGCGUUCUCCCAUCCCCCUUCUCUGCUUUCAUACCGCAUUAAGCCUGGCAGCAAUCCACCAUCUCCUGAAAGCUAAUGGGGUACAACAGAAAGCCCCAUAGUUGCUAUUUAGCAUGCUGGCAAUUGUCCAAACACGUUUCUGUAUCUGAUCUGCUAUAAAGUCGGGAGACAUGAUAAUGUUUUUUAUCUACAGCUGUAUGACUUACGUGAUUUUCCUUGGCCUCGGUAAUCGCUCUUUCCUCUCUGUUUUACCUGUACAGGUUAUGCUCUGCUCUUCUACAAAGCAAGCUCAAUAAAUGUCUGCUUGGAAACCGAGGGUCUCUGUAACCGUGGUUUCGCCUGUCCAAGCAACUCUGCAAUAACAAAAGAUGUGAAUGUUAAAUUACAACUUUCAGGGGUCUAAAAUCCCAAUUGCUGGCACCCGGACUUUUAAACAUCUCUGGUUUUUGUGCUGGUGGAUACGAUAACAUUGAGUCUUCUGUGACUGUCCCGACGUAUCAAAAUGAACUGCAGAGUAGGACGGCGGGGUCUGUCAGGGAGAUGCACAGGUACAGCCACGUGGGACGGUCACCACUAACAUCAGCUGGAUGCUUGUGCAGUGGGACCUCGGUUCUGUGGCAGAACGAUCUCAUCGGGACAGCGUGAGAGGAUGCCUGGCCUGUACCAAAGAGAUUCAUUCUUGGAAGCACUUUUAACCUGCAGUCAGCUGUGGACAGCCUCCAGGUGCAGCCCCAGCAAUCCCCAGGGAGCUUGCACGGUGCCGGCAGCAGCAGGG